UAAGCACUCAAUAAAUACUAGCUACUAUUG
rnacentral:piRNA from 1 species